ensembl:lncRNA
AUGCCUCUGAGGAUUUGGGUCCAAGCAACCAAAAAGAUGGAUUGCUGUUCACUGCGAUGGGAACGGCUGUGCCUUCUCUGCCUCCCCCACCCCCGACCUCCACUUCCAGGCCCAGGGGGCGGGGGGGGGGUGUCCUCCUGUCUCCCAGCUCACAGCGGGGAGAGGGAGAGGAAUGGGCUGGGGGCUGGGGGGCUUCCAGCUUGGAAUGCGACAGGCCAGCCUCUGAGAAGAGUUUGCUCCUUUCCGUCAAGGCCAGGCUGGGAGGGGGAGACACAGACAGACUCACAGGCCAGCCAGAGAUGGGACCUUCCCCCCAGUGGUCUUGGGGGUUUGGGGACAGUUUAUGGCCCCAGCUCAGACUUAACAAACCCGUUCACGAUACAUCAUCUCCAGCGACUUGUUUGGCUACGGAGCAUAAACUCUCUCUCUGAUCGAAGAUGUUUAUGCAGGUUUUCAAACAAACCUCCAGGUCACGACCCCUCUCUCAGCAGCAUCAACACAGCUGCCUGUGUCCCCUCCCACGGCCGGGCCCCUCCUGGGCACAGCAGCCUGAGGAAGGUGGAUGGUACCUGGUCUGGCUGCGCCCUCCUUGCCCUUGGGAAGGGGCCGGCUGCCUUCUGCGUUAACCCUGGGAGCCCCUCUCCUUGCUGCCUCUUCCGUUGUCACGGCAACCCAGCGCCUCCUCCGGACACACAGCUUCUUGCUCACUCCAAGAAAGGCGACGGCUGUAGGGCCCUGGCUUCCUCCUGGCUCUGCCAUUUAGCAGGCAGAUGGGUGAUGUCAUUUUGGAGCCUGGUUUCUCCCUGUGACACAGGCCUCGCCUCACCUGCAGGCUGGGACUGGACACGCAGAAGGCACUUCCAAUCACCUCCCAUGCCAGGAUUGUAAACGUCGAGAAAGAGAGAAAGUGCUCCUUUUAAGAAAUAACAUGCUCUCACAAGCUGAUGGGGAGAAACAGUAAGUUGCACCCCCUCCACCCCCAGCAUUAAACCCACAGCGGGUGGGGUGGGCUGGAGUGAUGGGUCAACACGCCUUUGAUGCCUGAACUUCUGGUUUCUUCCUGAGCAACAUCAGGCAAGGCUGGCAAGUGACUUUGUCCCAGCAACGGGACCCUACUUUCCCUGCCCUCAGUGUGCUAUGAAAUAGCACUAAGAUCCCAACUCACAUGCCUCGACGCCGUGGGCUGUAUUCUUUGUAGUUACCACCCCUGGACAAAGAGGAGACGGCUCUCCCAUCCAAGAUGGCCAUGCUGGGGUUGCAGGCCACACGUGCAGCCGAGCCAGGGCACUGCCGACCUCUCCUCUGAGUGAUGAGAAUUCAGGUACCAACCCACUCACCGGGGUUCUUCCCUGGCACCUAAGCUGACCCCAGGGAUGGGAGCACUCCCUGGCUGAGCCCCUGCCUCCUACCGGUCCAUUCACUCACCCUGCAGGCAUUUACUGGUUGCAGGUCCCGGCACCAGGCUUGGUUGCCAACUGAGGACCUGCAGGCUGAAAUCAGGCCACAGAGAAGCUGUAUCUGACCCACAUCAUGUUUCUGAAAGUUUUCCAUCACUCACUCGCAAAGUUAAAAAGUUUGAAAACUGCAUCUAGAAAUCUGACUUCUGGAUUUCUCUUAGAUUACCCAAAAAAGCUAGUCACACUGGGCCACAAUCCCCCCUGACUGCGUGCACUUGGAGUCGAACAUGGGCAGCCCCUGCUGCGUGUGACGCAGGCCUCACCGCUCCCCGCCGCCUCCCUGAUCCACCCUCUCCCCUCACAGUCCCCCUUGCUGGCCCUGUAGGCGUGUAGCUUUGGAUCCCCGCUGUGGAGGAAGAAUGGCACCACCACCGUGUGUUCGGCUCUCCGCGUGUGCCAGGCUGUACUCGCAGCGUGUUGCACAAACAAAC